rnacentral:rRNA from 1 species
GACGAACGCUGGCGGCGUGCCUAAUACAUGCAAGUAGAACGCACAGGAUGCACCGUAGUUUACUACACCGUAUUCUGUGAGUUGCGAACGGGUGAGUAACGCGUAGGUAACCUGCCUGGUAGCGGGGGAUAACUAUUGGAAACGAUAGCUAAUACCGCAUAAGAACAUUUACUGCAUGGUAGAUGUUUAAAAGGUGCAAGAGCAUCACUACCAGAUGGACCUGCGUUGUAUUAGCUAGUUGGUGAGGUAACGGCUCACCAAGGCAACGAUACAUAGCCGACCUGAGAGGGUGAUCGGCCACACUGGGACUGAGACACGGCCCAGACUCCUACGGGAGGCAGCAGUAGGGAAUCUUCGGCAAUGGGGGGAACCCUGACCGAGCAACGCCGCGUGAGUGAAGAAGGUUUUCGGAUCGUAAAGCUCUGUUGUUAAGGAAGAACGUGUGUGAGAGUGGAAAGUUCACACAGUGACGGUACUUAACCAGAAAGGGACGGCUAACUACGUGCCAGCAGCCGCGGUAAUACGUAGGUCCCGAGCGUUGUCCGGAUUUAUUGGGCGUAAAGCGAGCGCAGGCGGUUAGAUAAGUCUGAAGUGAAAAGGCAGUGGCUCAACCAUUGUAGGCUUUGGAAACUGUUUAACUUGAGUGCAGAAGGGGAGAGUGGAAUUCCAUGUGUAGCGGUGAAAUGCGUAGAUAUAUGAAGGAACACCCGUGGCGAAAAAUGCUCUCUGGGUCUGUUACUGACGCU